AUCCAUCUGACGAGUCCCAAAUAGGACAAAACACGCGUCCUGGAU
rnacentral:hammerhead_ribozyme from 1 species